CCGCUGCUGUCGUCCCGCCAACCCACCCAACCGCCUCACAGGCACACAAACCGUGCACCAAUAGAUAGAGCGUCAACUCACGAUUCGGCCCGAAAACUCGCACCUACGUGUCACUGCAAUUUCCCCACCCCCAACUUCCCAUACUGUUCGUCUGCCUCCCCAGGAACAGUGCAUUGAGCUGCUUGAGGUAGCAAGUGAAGAAUCCGUUGAUGAACAGCACGACCACCGCGCAGUUUGAGGCCGCCUGGUGUGAGGUGGAGCGGCAGCAAAGGGAGAGGCUGAGCGCCAGCACAGAACGCCUCAAUGCGGAGGUGGAGCGAGAGCUGACGUUGCUGUUGGCUGGCGUCCGCGACGCACUGACAGAGGACCAGCGGGAUAUUCAGUCCGAGUUCGACAAGCUCAUCCGCAUGGUGGAGCAGUUUCAACAAGGCGUCGAUAUGUGGCAGCUGAAGGCGAAGAGCUCUAUUAAGAUGAUUGAGGAGAAGCAGCGCAACUUCGCCCUGCUAGUCGAGGAGACGUCCAUCCGCGCAGCGGCGAACCGCAGAGACUCCAUUGAUCGGCUUCAGAAGCGCGCCAUCGAGACGGAGGCGCACUGCCAGCAGCUCAUAGCCGCAGCCAGCAAGAGCAUGUAACGUUGGAAUGCCCCCUCCCCCUCCUCCUCUCGCCCGUCACCACAGCCCUCCACUGUAGUCGAAGAGAGCACCCCACAUUGCGGGCCGCGGCUGUCUGAGCAUGGAGGGCCGUGCGCUCGAUCGCUUCGAUGGCUGCGCUUUAGGCUUGAGGCGGCGCUGCCUACUUUGUGUUUUGUACGCCCCCGUGCUUCGUUACAUGCUGGAACACGAUCGUGGUGGCGCAUGUGCCGUGCUCGCCCUUUCCCUUUCUCUUACUGUCUACUUCAUUCGCCGCAUGUGCGACGCACCGAGAGGAGCGAGGCACCUUUUCCUUUCGGCGAGUUCGAUAGAGGCAGAUAGCGGCGUAUAGAGAAACGUACCCCGUGCGCACACGCACACACGAAAUAGCUCAGCCACGCAGGCUCAGUGACCAUCCGUUCCAGCCUCUGCCCAUGCGGCAAAGGGAACUCUCUCCCUACCUGUAACGGGCGCUGAAAACGUUCGCGUGCCAGUAGAACAGAUGAGGCGGUGUCGCUGUCGUCUCCAGUGGUUGACUCCACCACGGUACUUCGACCCUCGUCCUCCCCGCCUCACAUCCACAUACUCCAAAUCGUGCAUGACUGCGGCGCUUCUUUUUUGUUUUGAGGAGCAGUGCAGAAGGCGGCAAUUUCUUUUGCACUCACUGCUUUGACGAGGUGGCGCAUGUCAAGGCUCACACACACACACACACACACACACACAACUGCGCGCCGCAUCGCGCCGCGCUGCCCUCCACCUGGACGUGAGCGUCUCCGCUGCACCGAGGUGACUGACCCAUCGCAUCUCCUCCUGCAUCCAUGCCUUUUUUUUUGUUUACUUGCUGCUUUCGGUUGCCGUUGCUAAACGGAUGCAACGGUGACGCUCUGAAUGCCUUCUUGGGAUUUUUGUGGCGGCUGUCGUGCAACGUGCACGCACCCCUCCCCCCACCCCGUGCUCUUAUUGUGCGGUAUAUUGUUUUUGCCCACGAG
rnacentral:misc_RNA from 1 species